GAAGCAUCACCAGCUUUGAAUAGAAUGGCAGAUCCUGAAAAACAUAUUAAUCUUACCGAGUCAAAGAUCUUGCCUGACUGGAUGAUAAGAGAAGGCAUGUUACAAAAGGAUACUCAUACUGGUGAUGACUCAGCGCUCAACGAAAGUACCCAGGACGCAUAUGCUAAGGCAUAUAGACAGGCACUUUACGAGGCUUAUUCAAGAGACACUCCAGCAGCAGCGAGAAGGGAAAAUGUAUAGCUGUGGAUGCCAGGACAAGGCACCAACCUUCUCCCACGAUCAGCGGACGUAAAACAUGAGGAUCAGUGCAAGUUGCGCACAUACUGGGUUGCAGACAGCAGGUAAAAAAUGUCGAAUGCUUGCUAGAAAGUGGUAUGUGUAUUUACCUUUUUGCACUGAUGUAGGUUAUAUGAGAGUUUACACAUCCAGAUUAUCCUGCUCCAGUUUGGUUUUUUUUUUUUGAAAACGAAGCAAAAGACUUGCCAUUUUCAUUGAUUAACAAGAAGAUAAUUGCCCGAUUAAUUGACGGAAAACCGGGCUAAAACCGAUACAUCACAACCCACAUGACAUGAGCACCACCGGCCAACCUGAUCACCGACAUGGAACAAGACACGACGGCACAUGCCAACGGUUGGCCACACGCGCAAGCAACCGACAGCUCCGACUUUGACGACGAGCAACACAAGGGAAAUAUGCAGGGCUUGCGCCGACCAUGCCCACCUCAAACGGCCACCGAGUGUCUGUCAUCAUCGUCACCACUGGACAUGCUCCAAAGCAGCUCCGACUUCAAAGCAACCCAGCAACCACGGAAGAGCACCUCGGACACGCCGGGAAGAACCGACUACCGAAGACCACGCCGCGACCCAAGCUCCUCUCAACGCCAACAUUGUUGCCAAACAGAAACUAACGCCCCGCCUCAGCCUCAGCAAACCACGCAGCGAAGAUACCGCCAUCGACGGCGAAGAUGCCAUCAUUCUCCAGACUCUCAGUCGUAGCGGCUCCGAGACGAUGCCCCCAAGGAGGAGAAAGACGCGAAGACGCCUCCAUCGCCUGAUCCAGCGGAUCUGAGGUUUCCCUCCGAAGCCCAAGCCGUGGGGAGAAGGUGGAGCACCUCCACGACGACGCUUCAAAGAAAGACCACGGCACUCGCGGGCGCCGCUGUCGCCGGCUUCGGUGAAGACCGGAGCAAGGAUUUCUCCCGGAGAUGUGCCGACCACCUGCCACCACCGACCGCCGCCCACGAACCACCACCCCUGCCGAGGCCGACUCCAAUCUAGCCACGAGACCCCUCGAUCCGCCGCGUCCAGAAGCGCUCCGCCCCCUGGCCGAAGCCGCCACCACCGAACCCGGGGCCGCCGCCCCGGCAACCACAGCCCACCACCGCUGACGACAUCACCACCAAAGGAGCCUGACCAGGCCCAUCGGUCCGGAGCCCACAUCACCAGAUCCAGAGGCAAGGGAGGGCCUGACCAGAUCGGAGACCUCGCUCCGGGCCUCGCUGCGAGAUGGCCGGCAGACAGAGAAGCUGACGGGAAGUCGCAGCCUCGCGCGACGCACGGUCCUCCACCGUCAGAUGUGGCCGGGGUCACAUCGAAGGAUGGGGAGGGGGGCGCCGCGGUCGCUAGGCCCCAACCACACCCCAAGGCACAGUUACGCCAACGCCGCGCAGCAGCCGCGCACCGCACCACCAGCUCGAGCCACCGCUAGGGGAAGCCGCCGUCGCAGUGGCUCCAGAUCCGCCACCGCCUCCUGCCGCCUUCGAACGAGAGGAAGAGGAAGGGGAAGACCCCGCCGCCGCUGUCCGCCGCCCGGGCUUAGCCCGGCAGCCUCCUCCGGCGACGGCGAGGGGAGGGAGGGGGGCGAGGGGGGCGGCCCGGCGGCACGGACGAGGGCCCAAACUGGGUUCAUCAAGCAGCGCUAGCAAGGUUCAUCUUCUUUGUAAAGCUGGUUGUCUCCUGAAAAAUGUGCAGUUAGCAAAAAAGGAAAAGAAAAAUAGAACUAGUUAUGCAUGCAUGAAGUUGCAAGCUUGGGCAUAGUCAGUCGAGUUUUUUGGACAAAGGAUCACACACCAAGCAUCCGCACGUACUAUCUAUCUCCUGCACGCACUUUGUCCUCUCAACAUUCCUAUACCUGAUUCCGAACCCAGUUUCCCAUGAGUCCAUAUUGUCAUACUCGUAUGCGUUCCCAGUGAAUUGAACCUACUGCCCACUUCAGGAUGCUUCUCUGUGUAUCCCCUCAUUGAGAAGUGCAUAUCUUUGUGUCAUGCAUCAUAUCAUCCAGCGACCAGCGUCCAUAGCUGACGUGCACGACAUCUAUUUUCCCAGCAACUAACACAAUUUCAUUAUAAUUCCAAUCUGGACUACUACAAUCAUCGCUACACGCAGUGACAAUUUUGAUGGGCGGGCUUCUAUGGGCUGAAGCCUGCCCUCAGAUACUGGGACCUUUUUACCGCUAAUGAUCGGUGUGCAAGGCAGGCCAAACCAAAAAAAAAAAAGAACCGGCUGCUUCCUAUAGCCAUGUAAACGCAUAACACGCCGCCUCCUUUGAUCAAGCCUGUCCAGGAGGGUGGCAGGCCAGGGAGGCCGCUGGGACAGGGUCCAUCCGUCCAGGAGGUAGGCUGGGAGCGCGGUCGGCCGACCGCUGGUCGCGACGCCGACGCGGCCAGCGUGCAAGAUAUCAAGCCGCUAACUUGCCAAGGUCGUUUUUGUUCUGACCAAGCUCAGUUCAGUAGCCCUGACUUCCUAAAUCAAGGGUGUAUAUUGAAUAAAUUGUACAAGAUGUACUAUGAAUUUCAGGUACAGAAAUUUUACAUAGUAUGGUAGCACACAAAACUUGGAGUUAAUUGCAUAAAACCACCACAUCUAGAGCUUCUUCUACAGAAAACCACCCGGUCCCUAAUCAUUUGCAAAAAGCACCGCACAUUCAGUAAACUUUUUGCAAAAAGCACUGAUCGCUCACUUUGCAGCGUCUGAGGGCGUUUCCGACAGGUGGGACCCAAAACAGGUGACGUGGCGUAACGGCUAGGCGGACGGCGCCGUUACUCACUACCUGGUCAAACCGAUGCCUCGGCUGGCCCGAUCGCACCAGCUCUCUCACUCUCUCGCCCGCCCUCCCUCUCUCCGUCCUUCGUGCUCCCACUCAUGGCGACGGCCAAAUCCCGCGACGGAGGCGCUGCUGAUGCUAGGUGCGGCGCUGAUGGAGAUCCGCCAGAGUUCCGUGGUGGCUCAAAUCCAUCUCAGUCGCAGCUUCCUCCCCAACUGUCGGAGGCAAACACAUCAGUUGAAUCCGUGGCGGCGACUGCGUUCGCCCGAGCUGUGAAGGAAGAUCCGACGGGCAGCCAGAACUGGGCAUCCGCGUUUGGCGGCGUUUGUUUGAAUGAUGAAGUCUGGGAAGUCAGAUUUCAUUUCUUUGAUAGAGAUAACUUGGAAAGAAAUAUAAGCCUGUCAGACAUAACUUUCUGGAAUCUAGUUGCACUUGUAGAGGUAGAAGGCUAUUCUUUCUGGAAUCCAGGUGUUUGGGUGUCAGGAAUGAUAGAGUUAACAGAUGAUGACAAGGUAGAGGAGAUGCUGGGUGAGCUAGCUAGUAAAGAAAAAAAAGUGGUUAAUGUUACAGUAAUGAGAAGUGAUGCUCCAACACCAGCUGAUUUGAACAGAUGCAAUGUGUAUGAAGACCAGGUUCCUUUGUCUGAAAUAGGUGUGACACUUGUGUAUGAGAUAGAUACAUCUGGAGUUCUUUUCCCUAGAACAAUGAAGCCACAGCCACAGCCAGUCCAGGUCAUGCACACACAUGAUAGCAUUGAACCAGAAUUUGUAGUGGACAAUGGUGAGGAGAGGCAUGAGUAUUUCGUGGACAUUGAUCAGGAGCAAGAGCAGAUAGAGCAAAAGCUAGAGGAGAAUAGGAAUAAAGAGAUUGAGAAGUUCAGGAGCAAUAAGAAAAGAAAAGAGAAAUAUAGAGCAGCUAAAAGGAAACUUCCAGAGUUGCUUGCUGAAGAUUGUACUGACAAUGAUACUGAUAGUGAGAUUCUAGUAGAUGAGAACAUAAUUGCUAGGCUAGAGGCAAUGAAGAGGCAUAGAGAUGAUCCACUCAACCACUUUGAAGAUGACACUGAUGUUGAAGAGCUAUAUGAACCAGACGAGGAGGAGGGAGUUGAUAAAGCAACAGAGAAGGAGGCAGCAGUGAAUAGCAGCAUAGGAGGAAGCAGUACAGGAGGCAGUCAGACAAAGGGGCCAACAACCAGAUCUCAUGCAAGUUUAGACCAAAUUAUAUAAGAGGACUGGUACCCUUCUGAUACGUCUCCAACGUAUCUAUAAUUUUUUAUUGUUCCAUGCUAUUAUAUUAUCCGUUUGGAUGUUUUAUAUGCAUUAAUAUGCUAUUUUAUAUGAUUUUGGGACUAACCUAUUAACCUAGAGCCCAGUGCCAGUUCCUGUUUUUUUUCUUAUUUUAUAGUUUCGCAGAAAAGG